AUGUAUUUGUAUAGUAGAGAUGUAUCAAUAGUUUGUUCAGCGAAUUAUGGCCAUCCCCUGCAAUCUUCAAGCUUCUGUUUAUGGCUAUCGCCUAUGUUUAGCAAUGUGAUCCUCCUUUUCAUAACGUCACCAAAUAAACACGUCAACACAAGUAAUCUCAACCAUUCGUUUCCCAUUAAUCAAUUAUUGAAGAAAUUUUGGGAAGAAAUAUGA